GUAGGUGGCAAGCGUUGUCCGGAAUUAUUGGGCGUAAAGCGCGCGCAGGCGGUCUUUUAAGUCUGAUGUGAAAGCCCCCGGCUCAACCGGGGAGGGUCAUUGGAAACUGGAGGACUUGAGUGCAGAAGAGGAGAGCGGAAUUCCACGUGUAGCGGUGAAAUGCGUGGAGAUGUGGAGGAACACCAGUGGCGAAGGCGGCUCUUUGGUCCGUAACUGACGCUGAGGCGCGAAAGCGUGGGGAGCAAACAGGAUUAGAUACCCUGGUAGUCCACGCCGUAAACGAUGAGUGCUAAGUGUUAGAGGGUUUCCGCCCUUUAGUGCUGCAGCAAACGCAUUAAGCACUCCGCCUGGGGAGUACGGCCGCAAGGCUG
rnacentral:rRNA from 1 species